UACGUAGGCAGCGAGCGUUGUUCGGAGUUACUGGGCGUAAAGGGUGUGUAGGCGGUUGUUUAAGUUUGGGGUGAAAUCUCCCGGCUCAACUGGGAGGGUGCGCCGAAUACUGAAUGACUAGAGUGUGGGAGAGGUGAGUGGAAUUCCUGGUGUAGCGGUGAAAUGCGUAGAUAUCAGGAGGAACACCGGUGGUGUAGACGGCUCACUGGACCAUAACUGACGCUGAGACACGAAAGCUAGGGGAGCAAACAGG
rnacentral:rRNA from 1 species